rnacentral:rRNA from 1 species
CAAAAUCCCCGUUUCGCCCCGCCCCGCCCCGGCAGACCUACCCCGGUUUCUCCUCUUCCAUUGACUCCUUUCCGAACCCUAAUACAUCCACUCUCGGACGGCCGCCGCCAGCCCGCCGCCGUCGUCGCCGACGCCUCCGCUCCAGCGUGUCCUCCUCCAACGCCGAGAGCAGAUCCAGGCAGCGUCCCCUUCCCCAUCGGCGACACCUGGAGUCGCAGGCAGGAGAGGAGGAGACGCUGAAGCGGAGCGCAAGUAGUCUCUGGGUGAAGGCAGGAACCGGCCGCCGCCAACGCCAUCCCGAGUGAGGUUGGUCUCUAGAAAGGUUCUAAAUCUUUUCAAGAAGCCCGAGCAGCGAGAUUCACGAAGCUAGGGGGGGGGGGGGACUGAAUCAAGAAGUGAGAGAAUUGCAAUUAAGUGAAGGCAGGAGCCGGCCGCCGACAACGCCAUCCAGAGUGAGGUUCGCCCGGUGAUGGCGAUAAGUCAGCCCUGGCCGGUGGAGGAUGUUCGUGAGACGUUUUUCUCCUAUUUCGUGGAAAAUCAGCAUGUGCAGUUGUCAUCAACCCCGGUUAUCCCCGUAGUUGAUACCAAGGUGCCUCUUAUUCAUACAUGUUUGAACCGGUUCAAGGGGACCCUUAAUGGCAGAGGGAGUCAUCGCACCUGCUUUUCGCUGAGAUGCAUUACUGUGGGUGGUGAUGACGAUGAAGUGAUUGAUCACUUCAAAAACGACACUACUUACCAUAGAUUCACAGAAGUCCUUGGAAGUUGGUCUUUUGGGGACUACUUUAAGGAGGAAGCCAUCAGGUUAUUAUUCAGUCUUCUCAACAAGAAAUACAAGUUACCUCAGUCCAGAAUAUAUGCUUCAUACUUUAGUGGUGAUACGUCCCUUGGUUUGAGUUCAGACAAUGAGUCAAAAAAUACAUUGCAGAAAUACCUAGCGGAAGAAAGAAUCAUGCCUGCCAUGUCUAAGGCUGAUUUUUGGAUGACUGGUGAAACUGGUCCCUGUGGGCCAUGCAUUGGAUUUUUCUUCGAUUGUUCGGAUAGCAAAGAUGGUGUUGGUUCCGUAAUCAACAUAAAGGAUGGCAAAUUUAUUGAGAUAAGCCGUCUUGUUUUUGUUGAGUUCAAUAUGCAAGCAGGUGGCGUCUUGAAGCCUUUGCAAGCUAAGCAUGUCUUGAAGCCUUUGCAAGCUAAGCAUGUCUUAACAGGGAUUAAUCUUGAAAGUUUAGCUGCCAUUCUUCAAAAUAAAGAAAGCCACUAUGAAUUAGAUGUCUACGAUGACAUAUUUUUCAGCAUGAGCUGUUGUACUGGUCGAGGAAUCCGGGACUACUCUGGUGAAGUUGGUGCUGCUGACACAGAUGGAGUUGAUACGGCAUACCGCCUCCUUGCAGAUCACAUAAGAAUGAUUGCUGUUACUAAUGCUCCUGGUUCUCAGCUUGGGUUUGGAAAUGAAGGUCGCGAGUAUUUCCUAUAUCGUGCCGAUAAACAGGCUGUGCAAUAUGGCCACGAAGUACUUAAGACAAAUCAAGAGAAAUACGAUGUUAUUAUUCAUGGCAUUCUUAUAUCUGAAGCUGAUUUAUGUCCUGAGCUUGAAGGGUACAGAAAAGUGGAUGAAAUAAUCGAAGAUGAAUUGAUGAUCUAUAAAAAAACCAUGGCGGAGUUACGAGAACAGCAAGUGCCAUUUGAUAUGGGAGGGAAGAAGAAAAAGAAGAAAGGUGUCACUUCUGUUGUGUGGUAUGCGACAAGGCUUAUUGAAUUUUUUGGCCGGCGCACACGCAUUAUUCUCAAGAAUAAGAAUACACGCUGCUCCUUAGUAGCACUAUGCAACGCUCUCCUGCUUGGAGAGAAGAUAACUCUCAAUAUAGAUAUCGAGAAGGUGUCAGAGGGCCAUCUCAUCUAUCUUGUACAAAGUUAUCUUUUGUAUGGCAAUACACAAAUGCAGUUGGAACAGAACUUGGAACUAUCAGAGUUCAAUAAACAAGUUCUUGGUGUAUUGCCGAAGCUUCCGGGCAGUUUAUACUUUGAUGUGACAUUUGCCAGCUCUUGUGGCUUUGAGCAGACCUCAGAAACCGCAAUAUUUGGUUUUCUUGGUGUCCCUCUACACCAUGGCUGGUUGGUAGAUCCCCAGGAUGCUGAAUUGGGCUCCUCAAUACGUAAAAGUUCCUACUACCAACUUUCGUAUAUUCUUGCUGUGUACGAAUCGAUUCGAUCCAGCACAAAUUCAGGGCCUCAAAAGCAUGGUGGAUGUAAAGAUGAUGACAAGUUUGAUUCGACACUUGUGUUCUCUUUAACCAGAUCAGAAGAACUUGGUUCUAUUUCUUGUGCAAUGAUCUCAACUUUUUUGCAUGGCCCUCAGCUAACCUCGUAUGGAUUUUCUUCCUUACAUGAUGACUUAAAAGCGAGACAGCCCACUGUCCUGAUUUGGAAUGAAACAUUAAUUACAAUAUCUAAGGUAGGAGACCAAAUAUAUGUGUUGCUGAACGAUUUGUCCUUGUUAAGUACUGAAACCGGUGCGGUAUGGGAAAGGUUAACAGAGGAUAGUGAUGGAUUGUUUGUUGAUUGUAACUUCGUGCCAACAGAUUCAGAGAUUCAAUCUAUACUGCCACUAACGAGAAUGGAAAGAAGGAAGAGGAAUAGAGAAGAGAAGAGGCCUCUGAAGGAUCUCUUAGUACCUGAGGAGAAAGAGGUGGAUAAGAGGGAAGACGGAGAGGGGGAUACGAACGAGGACGAGAAAGAUUAUGAGAAGACAGAGACCGGGGAGAAAUAUGAUGGGAAUAUCGUGGAGAAACCAGAUAUAUCUGGCAUUCGUGGCAACUUGAAUAUAAGGCCUAUUGUUUUUUUGGGACGGCCAACCCAUGUUAUCCAUCAGAUAAAUGAUGGCCCGUGUGCCCUUAUUGCAGUCUGCAAGUGAAAUUGGCUUUACUUUCAAUUUUUGUAUUUCAUUUCCUCAUGUUUUGUAUUUAUUCUUUUUUUUGCACAGGUAAUCUUCUACUGCUCCAGGGGAGCAUCUUUUUUGAACCACAUGAAACUGUGGUGUCAAUGGAAUAUCUACUUAACUUUGUCUUUUCUUUACUUGAAGAUAGUGAGAAAAUGAAGGCCCAUUGUUCUGCAAUACAACGAAACAUAUGGGAUGCGGCGCUGACACUGGCCACAGGGUUUGAUGUGGACGUUGUCUUUACCAGAACGGAUGGAUUUACGGAGACACGAGAGUGGUUCCUUCUCAAUUGCUUAAAUCUAAAUCUUCGACAUGGUUGGAUUGCUGCUGGGGAUUUGUUGCGCGGACCAGAAACAUCAUUUGAAAGUCUUACGCUGGCGGCUAAUGAACCUGGUUUUCCAAAUGCGGAGGCGAUCAAGAAGUUUCUAACGGGACCUCAACUUACUCCCAUUGGCUUGCUUUCCUUACAAGAAGAGCUUACUGAAAAUGUUCCAUGCAUUCUGUACUGGAACAAACAUUACAAUACUACAGUUAAGGUCAAUGGAAAAUUAUGUUCUUUAGUCACUGAUUCAAAUUAUUUAAGAACAAGUGCAGUUUGGCAGACGCUUGAGGUCCGCGGUAACGGAUCAUAUUUGGACAGCAACUUCACACCAAUUUAUGCGCAGCUUGAUGCAGCUCCUUCGUUUCUUCCUGAAACAAGUACCUCCCAAGCAUCUACCUCAUUCAUGAAGCAAGAUUUGGAAGGGAUUACAUCACGUGGUGACGGAUUAUAUUUGGAUCGUAGCUUUACACAUUCGGGACCCAAUGCAGCUCUUUCGGGAGAUGAUCUUCAUGGCUCUCAUUUUGUUCAGAAAAUACGGACUCGAAGAUCUCUGCCCAGUCCUCGAAUUGUUCCUGAAUCAUCGGAAGUACCACUUAGUGAUUUUGUUCGGAUACCUGGUAAUGAGUUCUCUGAAUUAAGAACUCUAUUUGCUGAUGGUACUUCAUUGGAUGUUGCUGAUACGAGAAAGAUUGGAAGAGUUCUCGGACUUGAUUUACUUGAAGAUAUUGUUUUUAAUCAUAAUGCGGGGUUCAGUUGGGAUGGGAAGUUUGACCCGACGACUAUAAUGGUCAUUGAUGGAGUCCGUGCGGAAAUUCGCGCACCGUAUUGUGACAAGUUCUGUGAAGAGGCGAAAUUAAAUGACUUCUUCAGUUACAUUACUGGGGUUAUUGAGCUAUUUAGAAUAGAAGGGAUUGGUCUGCCAGCCUUUUUUGCCAAGUUGACCCAGACGCUGUCAAACCCUCCUCGCAGACCUCAAGUGUGUACCCAACGUCAACUGGAGGGCUUCAAACGUCGACUUCAUGGCUAUUGGGAUAUUGUAUUGACUACCCUGGCGCUGAGGUCCUCAUUGGCUAGAGCAGGAUUAUAUUCUGGAAUUCAUAGAAUACACCGCUUCGCGCCAGAGGCAGUUAAUCAUGCGCUGAGAGCUGUAUUGCGAAGUCGUUUUUUACCAAAAGAUUGGAGACAACCAAUUGUUGCAGAAACAGGUCAUCCAGUCCUCAAAAAGGUUUUACGGUAUAUCCCUGAUACGUUAGAUGGAAGCAAUGAGAAUGCCAGGGCGAAUGAAGGUUGGCGUAGGAAGUUUGGGUGGUAUAAACCCAGGUUGCUUGAUAGCUUGUGUAUUUUUCCAAGACAAGUAAACGAACAUGCAAAGUCUAAGGAGGAGCUAGAACUGGAAAAGCAACAAGGAGUGGAGAAUGAACCUAUGAACAGUCUUUCCGAAUUGGAUCUUCUGACGUCUCAUUAUCUCCAAGACGAUCUUCCAAUUAUAUUGGAAGUAUUGCUACGCUCUGAUCAUCUUAUGACAGAUGAAUUGUGGAAAUGGUUGGAAGAGGUCCUGGAGGUUUACUCCCGACCAGAAGUCCUUGGUCGUGGAACCUGGGGCCUCCGCCGCUGUGUUUUUGGUGGAGGCUGGAACCUGGGCCGCCGUGCCUAUUGCCGCCGUGGUCGUGCCCGUGGUUUCGGACACCGUGGUCACGGUCGUGCCCGUGGUUUCGGACACCGGUGACUAUCAGAGCGAAGGCGCCGUCCGCGGAGAUGAGGGGAUCUGCGGCGAUGGUGCCCAGAUCCACGGCAGCGGCGUCAACUGUGAUGAGAAGCGCAUCUGCGGCGAUGGCGACCAUGGCAAGGGCACCAGUUCCUCGAUUCUCAGCAGUUACCUUCCUCUCCUAAUCCCCGUCUUCAGGAAACAGGAGCCAAUCAAUUUUGUUGCAUUGUAGACCAAUACUGUUGUUUGUAAAUAAUUUGAACUUGCUAAUAUUGUGAACACUGCAGUUAAGUUCCUUGGGCCGCUAGAUUACUUAUUUGUCACUGCAAGUAGAAAGUUGAAGUGCUAAAGCUGAUGAUGGGUUUCGGCUGAGUAAGUAGUAUACUCUGAUUUAGUUGCGAUAGGCUUUGUUCUUGCCAUCAUUUGAUAUGGAAUAGUUGUGUUAUGACCAGAGAUUGCAUCUGUUACCCUCUUCUUUGGACGUCUUUCCAAGCCAAUAAAAAACUGGUGCAUAGGCAGACGACCUACAUGGUUGGUUUGCCAGCCCAUUGCGUUUUCAUUGUUGCCCUGGUGUCAAAUGGUCCACCAAUACUCCAUUCUAAUGAAUAAGCUGUCCUCG